UGGCAAAAUCGCCCUGGUAACUCACCGCUGAAAUACUGCGCUUCCAGUGUGUAUGGAAAUACUAACUCACCCUUUCCACCUGUGCUUUCUGUCCAUUGCACUGUUUUGUUUUAAGCUUUGUGAUAUCAAACUUGUCAAUAUUUUGUAACAAAGAUUGAUAACUAAGUUCUGAAGUACGUGUACAUGUGAAUGUUGAUAAACUUUAAUCCUUUACUGAACGUUUUUAUUGCUUUUUAUUAGCUGUCAUACUAAACACUUGAGCCUUGCCGUAUUAAAUAUCCUGCGAAUUGCAGUCCGAACCGAUUAAAUAAAACCAUUUUUUUGCUUUGCAUAAUUGUAUUUUCUACCUUUGAUCCAUCCAUGAGCCUGUACAGUGAGACUGUGGUAUUUCGAGCUUCAUUCUUUACGUUGCUAUCCUGUAUUUGUUAUCAACCCGCUCAUGCAAUAAAGUGCUACCACUGUGUUGGUGCUAGUUGUUCCGAUCCCUUUGAUAAUACUGCAGUGACUCCACUGGAUUGUACUGGACCAAACAAUCAUUGUGCAAAGGUCACCACGACCAUUAACGGAAACAAACAGAUACAAAGGAGCUGCUCACCUAAUAACGGUCAGGCUGAUGACAGAUGCAACACCGUGAAAACUUCUGUCGCGCAGAUAGAUUAUUGUGGAUGCAAGACAGAGCUGUGCAAUUACAGCACCAUUUUAUCUAAUUCAAAAGUAACAACGCUGAUGUCAGUGGCUGUAGCAAUUUUGUUUUAUGUACAGUGCUAACGAAAAAUUUAUUUCCAAUUGUUUGCUGUUACAUAAAUCGCCGUUUGUACCUGAGCCAUUUCGUCAAUAAACAAUUGCAGAAAUACAA